GAUGAAGAACGUAGCGAAAUGCGAUACUUGGUGUGAAUUGCAGAAUCCCGCGAAUCAUCGAGUUUUUGAACGCAAGUUGCGCCCGAAGCCAUUCGGCCGAGGGCACGUCUGCCUGGGUGUCACGCAUCGUUGCCCCCCCAAACUCCGGUUCGGGCGGGGCGGAAGUUGGCCUCCCGUGCGUGCCUGCGCGCGCGGUUAGCCCAAAAGCGAGUCCUCGGCGACGAGCGCCACGACAAUCGGUGGUUUUUUUACCCUCGUUCCUCGUCGUGCGUGUCCCGUCGCCCGAACGCGCUCUUGCUACCCUCACGCGUCGCCUCGGCGGCGCUCCCAACGCGACCCCAGGUCAGGCGGGACUACCCGCUGAGUUUAAGCAUAUCAUAAGCGGAGGA
rnacentral:misc_RNA from 1 species